rnacentral:rRNA from 1 species
AUGAACGCUGGCGGCGUGCCUAAUACAUGCAAGUCGAACGAGGUGCUUUUGUAGCAAUACGGAAGUAUCCUAGUGGCGAACGGGUGAGUAACGCGUUGGUGACCUACCCCAAAGUGUGGGAUAACAGUUCGAAAGAACUGCUAAUACCGCAUGUGGUUAUUGGAUUUAGAAACCGAUAACUAAAGGAGCAAUUCGCUUUGGGAGGGACCUGCGUCCCAUCAGCUAGUUGGUGAGGUAAUGGCUCACCAAGGCUACGACGGGUAGGGGACCUGAGAGGGUGACCCCCCACAAUGGAACUGAAACACGGGUCAUACACCUACGGGUGGCAGCAGUAGGGAAUAUUGCACAAUGGGCGAAAGCCUGAUGCAGCAACGCCGCGUGUGCGAUGAAGGCCUUCGGGUCGUAAAGCACUUUUCUGAGGGAUGAGCAAGGACAGUACCUCAGGAAUAAGUCUCGGCUAACUACGU